UAAAAAACCAUGACAGGGACAGUAGCAGUAUGAAAUCUUUUAAAGCGAGCCGGAGUUGGUGCGAGUCCGGCAAAGAAGCAAACUUGCGAAAAUCACCCUCGAGUUUUUUUGCUGAACCUAUAGAAUCAGUAAGCAAAAACGCGUUAUUCACGUUACGAAUCUCAAAGAGGAUAAGCAGUUUUUUAGUUUAUCUAAAAGGGUGGUACCGCGAGAAACCUUCUCGUCCCUUCU
rnacentral:ncRNA from 1 species